ensembl:lncRNA
CCGAGGUCAGGGGCGGCGGCCAGGAGGAGCAACCCCACCUCCAAGGAGCGGUGGCUGUGCGGGCGCAGGAGGGCCCACAGGAGCUAUUCCAUGUUCCAGGUCAGAAGGGGUGGCAGUGAAGAGAUACCCCUCGUCCAAGGAUGGGUGGAUAACUACACAGCAACUUCAUCGGCAAGUGUCAGGGCCACACUGGGAAUCAUACCUAGCCAAGGUCUUCCCGCCUCAGUAUCCUGGGUUCUAAGAGGAACAUCACUUCAGUGCAGAUGUGUUGACAGUACAGGACUGUCAAGGACACACAGAUCAGAGUGCAGAGGGCAGAGCUACCUGCUCCUGCUUUCUCCUUCUAUCCCUUCUAGGGAAGUUCACAAUUUCCUCUCCUGGGACCAAAGCGCAGAUCUCUCACUGCUAAAAGGAUCCUGUUACAGUGGUGAGUUUUCUCACAGUGGUAAGUUUUAGUUCCUUGCCUACCACUUGAAACUGACUUCCAGCCAAUGCUGUCUUGAGGAAGCAGAUGCAGGGUGUUAGGGGACUUUGCUCUGUCUGCUCCAGUAACAUUCAAAUAGAGUAUUUCACCCAGAUUCCUUAGAACAAACCAAAUUAUCCCUCUUUUCUCUUUCAGAACUUAACAUCAUUGAUUCCAGUCUCUCUCAAUGAUGUUUGCUUGAAAGUACUUUUUAUCAGAAGCAACAGCUCAUCCAGAGAUCCAGGCAACUUCUGGGAGAUAAGACUGCUGUCAUUCCCUCUCUGGGGCAGCUCUACAGGGAACAGAAAGAAGAGUAAACCUAUAGUAAAUGAAAG